rnacentral:rRNA from 1 species
UACGAAGGGGGCUAGCGUUGCUCGGAAUCACUGGGCGUAAAGCGCACGUAGGCGGCUUUUUAAGUCGGGGGUGAAAGCCCAGAGCUCAACUCUGGAACUGCCUUCGAAACUAGAGGACUUGGGUACGGGAGAGGUGAGUGGAAUUCCGAGUGUAGAGGUGAAAUUCGUAGAUAUUCGGAAGAACACCAGUGGCGAAGGCGGCUCACUGGCCCGUUACCGACGCUCAGGCGCGACAGCGUGGGGAGCAAACAGG